rnacentral:rRNA from 1 species
UACGAGAGGCCCAAACGUUAAUCGGAAUUACUGGGCGUAAAGGGCGCGUAGGCGGUCGUGACAAGUCACUUGUGAAAUCUCCGGGCUUAACUCGGAACGGUCAAGUGAUACUGUCGGACUAGAGUACAGAAGGGGCAACUGGAAUUCUCGGUGUAGCGGUGAAAUGCGUAGAUAUCGAGAGGAACACCUGCGGCGAAGGCGGGUUGCUGGGCUGAUACUGACGCUGAGGCGCGAAAGCCAGGGGAGCGAACGGG